UACGAAGGGGGCUAGCGUUGCUCGGAAUCACUGGGCGUAAAGCGCACGUAGGCGGAUUGCUAAGUCAGGGGUGAAAUCCUGGAGCUCAACUCCAGAACUGCCUUUGAUACUGGCGACCUUGAGUCCGGGAGAGGUGAGUGGAACUGCGAGUGUAGAGGUGAAAUUCGUAGAUAUUCGCAAGAACACCAGUGGCGAAGGCGGCUCACUGGCCCGGUACUGACGCUGAUGUGCGAAAGCGUGGGGAGCAAACAGG
rnacentral:rRNA from 1 species